AAACAAGCUUGCCUAGCAUCACACAGCAGCAUAUGUUCAGCUGGGGCCACCGCCCCUUUUGGCUCAGCACAGGUGCAACGCAAAGGAGCUUUGCUUUUCCUGGGCUCAGGGAAAGUUGAAGGCAACCUGAGAAUAGGUGCUUCCUGGGGAACGGUGUUGAACCUAACCCCCUUCCUCCACUCUUUAAAAUCAGACAGGCUCUGUGCUGAAGACCGACACUGACAGCUUUCGGCCAGGAACUUAUCUUUCCCAGCAACAAAGAACAGGUGCCAGCCAUAGCAAUAGUUUCAGACCCGUGGAGUCAGCUGUGCUGUUGCCAACCUCCAUCACCUGUCCGCCUUUAUCCUGGGCUCUGUUCCUGUGGAUUUGAACAAAUAGAUGAGCGGCAUCGGAAGAAAGCUUUAGCUGCAUGUGUUUGGGUGACCACGAGAGGGCAGCACGUAAGAGACCAGUGUCGGCCCCGCUGCCUUCUUGAACACACCGGAAGCCUCCUAGGAAAACUGCAGAUUUUGUCAGACUGUGAAGUAGAAGAGUCAAAGAGCCUUCAUUGCUUCCUUUUAAAUGACCAGCCUACUAAGGAAUUUAGAAUGCCCAAGUAAGGUUUUCACUUAAUCCUUUAAGAAAUACAUCUAAUAUUUCUAAUCUAAUCUAUCAUUUUCAAUGGAAAACAGUAUUUUUUUUUUCAGUGAUUCUCACUGCUUUCUUUCUGAGGAACUUGAAAUGAAUCUUAUGUUUUAUUUAUUUUUCAAUUUCUAAGGUAAGGACUGCUGGUCAGACUGGACUUCAAAAUUCCUGGAUCCUUAAGACCCAAUGCAUCAGACAAAUGUCCUGCUGGAUCCUCCCACCGUCAGCUAAGGGACAGUGCUAGCUCUCUGGUGAGGGAGAUCCGUGUGGAGGUCUCUGGCAUUCCUGGGUCAGUGGAUGGCUGGGAGAACUGCUCAGCUCCAGGUUCCAGGGCCUCUGAUCAAAGCCAACCCUGGGGGCCAGCCAGAGAUAUCGCAAACCUAAGGACUAACGUGGAAUCUACACCUGCCUUGGGAGUAAAGAACAAGCAGGGUGCUUUCCGGGAUGGCUUUGGGAUGAGAUGCCCAAGACUUAGUGCCCCUGGCAUUGCUCAGCUCUCAAGCUGACUUCCACAGCACCCCCAUGGAAGCUUCAUUGGUGCAUCUUUGGGUCUUGAAUGCAGUGCUACAAUAUUGACGAGGAAAGUCUCCUUGGAACCACAGGAAGACAAAAGUGCAGAGUGAUUUGCUGGCCUUGGCUAGGACAGGGUCCAGGGUGCAGCCAAGGGAGGGUGAUCUAAGCCAGCCAUUCUCCUAGUGUGGCUCCUGGACUAUGCGCAACAGCAUCACCUGGGAGCUUGUUAGAAACACUGGUUCUCAGUUCCCAUGCAGACGUCUUGCAUCAGAAAAUCUGGGGCUGGGGCCCAGCAAUCAGUGUCUCCAAAGGCCCUGAGAUCAUUCUAUUCAAGUUUGGGAACCAGCAACACAGCAUUUAAGUGGAAAUGUUUAUAGUUGCAAAGCCAGGUGAAGCUUGAAAUGCAUCAUAGAGGAAAUGAGGACAAGAAUGUAGAAAAAGAGUAAAAACAGAGAGGAAAAAAAUUUACAAGCCAUCAUAGAGUGAAAGAGCUUCCCCUGCUGCCUGGGGGUGUGGGAAAUGAGAGUUGCACCUGCUCACAAGUAUGACCAGCAAUUUAAUAUCUAUCUAGAGCUUUCAACCCUGCCAUGUCAAAUUUAUUUAGCUAAAAACAACUCUUGUGGUGGUGACCUUUUAUUCAGCUAAUAUUACUCCCCUCAAUGCCUCCAAAGCACACAGAGAAAUUGGAGGGCUGAUGAAAAUCUUUAAAGUCUACUAAAUACUAAAGCCUUCCCAAACACU
ensembl:lncRNA novel transcript